rnacentral:rRNA from 1 species
GACGAACGCUGGCGGCGUGCUUAACACAUGCAAGUCGAGCGAUGAAGUUCCUUCGGGAAUGGAUUAGCGGCGGACGGGUGAGUAACACGUGGGUAACCUGCAUCAUAGAGGGGAAUAGCCUUCUGAAAGGAAGAUUAAUACCGCAUAAGAUUGUAGUGCCGCAUGGUAUAGCAAUUAAAGGAGCAAUCCGCUAUGAGAUGGACUCGCGUCGCAUUAGCUAGUUGGUGAGGUAACGGCUCACCAAGGCGACGAUGCGUAGCCGACCUGAGAGGGUGAUCGGCCACAUUGGGACUGAGACACGGCCCAGACUCCUACGGGAGGCAGCAGUGGGGAAUAUUGCACAAUGGGGGAAACCCUGAUGCAGCAACGCCGCGUGAGUGAUGACGGUCUUCGGAUUGUAAAACUCUGUCUUCAGGGACGAUAAUGACGGUACCUGAGGAGGAAGCCACGGCUAACUACGUGCCAGCAGCCGCAGUAAAAC